UGGAGCAAUCUGGCUAAGGAAGAGGAGGAGGAGGACGUGAGCUAGCGAAACGCAGAGGGCUAGAGCUGAUGAUGAAAGAGAGGCACGGCCCUGCGUGAGCAGGCUCGUUUCCAUCAUACGCAGCAGGCACACAGGGAGGCAGGCACAGCGCAAGGAACCGAGCGCCCUGCCAUGCAGGGGCACCCCCCCCUUCCCCGGAGCUUAGGACGGAGACCCAGGGAGGAAAAGAGCAACUGGGAGGAAAGGCGCUGCGCUGGAAUGUCAAUGCACCCACGCUAUGGCAGUACGCUUGACAGUGCAGUGCGGCUAAUGAAGCUUUUAAUUGGGGGGGAAGGUCCUACGGAAAUAUCUUCCGGGAUUAAAACGAAGAGAAGAGCUCCUCUUUGUAUUUACACACAUCUAAAGCCCUCUCUGUAGUGAAGCAGUCCGCAAGGACCACGGAACUGCAGUGCACACGCACACACAAAACCCCAAAGCAACCACACAACCCCAAACCCACAGAGCUGCAAAUGGAUCUUUGAAAAAGUAAAUACUGCAUGUGACAAAAAACCUCGGUGAUUUUGUUUUCUCAUGCCCUUACUUCUAAACCAGCUGCACAGCCAAGCUCAGGCUGCUUGGCCCUUAUAACUAUCUUGGCACCGAGUCAAAAGCUGAUAAGCAUUUGGGCGAGACAGCUCAACUGCUGUGCUGGAAGAAAAACAGCUGCCAUGAUUGCUGUUUGAUUGAGCGCGCUUACACACACUCACAAAAAAACAUAUCGGGCUGCAAAGACGGGCCACAAAUGCCUGAGGAUUCAGCUUCAGAGGAUCAACACACAUUUCCCUUUUUAAAAAAAAAAAAAAAAAAAGUUUUCAUAUAGUUUCUCCUCCGUUCCCCCUCCCCUCUUUUAAAGAAAACGUACUGCAUGGACUUGCUUUUCUUCUUCCCAUCCCCCUCCAUAACCUCAAGCAAACUCAAGGAAUUGUGCCAAAAGUCCCGUUGCUAGUUACCAAGUGCAUUUUUUUAAAUGUCCCUUUGAUACUUCUCUCCCUCGUGCUUGCCAUGGAAUAUGCAAGGGCAAAAGGAGGGAAAUGAGGGGGAGAAGGAUGUUUUUUCUCUUUGCCGAGUCCAACAUUUGGCUUUUUCCAUUUGUGGCAGAUCACUGUAACGCUAUUGUAAAACAACUUCCUGCCCCUUUUGGCUCACGUUCCAGAAGCUGCUAGGCUAAGUUCAUAGCACAAACUUUUUUCCCCCUUGCCGAAGAAGAGAGAGAAAAAAAAAAAAUUCCCUGCAAAUUAUUUCCCCCCCUUCUCUGGCUAAUGGACUCACAAGGUGAAUUUAUUGCAGCUCUUUAAGAAUGUUACACAAGAGACGUCGGUAUCCCAGCUGGAUAAUUCAUAAACUGAAAAGCAACAGCAUUUCUUGGUACGCCUGCUUUGGCAUACAUCAGCAUUUCUACCCGUCCAAGUGUCCUUUUGCGUCACAUCUCGCCAUUUCACUCAACCAAUGAAAUCUUCU